rnacentral:rRNA from 1 species
CAUGCAAGUCGAACGGUAACGCGGGGCAACCUGGCGACGAGUGGCGAACGGGUGAGUAAUAUAUCGGAACGUGCCCAGUAGUGGGGGAUAGCCCGGCGAAAGCCGGAUUAAUACCGCAUACGACCUACGGGUGAAAGCGGGGGAUCGCAAGACCUCGCGCUAUUGGAGCGGCCGAUAUCAGAUUAGCUAGUUGGUGGGGUAAAAGCCUACCAAGGCGACGAUCUGUAGCUGGUCUGAGAGGACGACCAGCCACACUGGGACUGAGACACGGCCCAGACUCCUACGGGAGGCAGCAGUGGGGAAUUUUGGACAAUGGGCGCAAGCCUGAUCCAGCCAUGCCGCGUGCGGGAAGAAGGCCUUCGGGUUGUAAACCGCUUUUGUCAGGGAAGAAACGCACUGGGCUAAUACCCCGGUGUAAUGACGGUACCUGAAGAAUAAGCACCGGCUAACUCUGUGCCAGCAGCCGCGGUAAUACAGAGGGUGCGAGCGUUAAUCGGAAUUACUGGGCGUAAAGCGUGCGUAGACGGUUAUUUAAGUCGGGUGUGAAAGCCCCGGGCUCAACCUGGGAAUUGCAUUCGAGACUGAAUAGCUAGGGUACGGUAGAGGGAAGCGGAAUUUCCGGUGUAGCGGUGAAAUGCGUAGAUAUCGGAAGGAACAUCAGUGGCGAAAGCGGCUUCCUGGACCAGUACCGACGUUCA